ensembl:snoRNA small nucleolar RNA SNORA50
GUGCACUGUAUUUAAACCCGACUGCCUUUUGUGGUCUCUUGGGUUACGCAACAGUGCAACAGCAACUUUAGUUUGUUAUAACUAGAGCUUCCUAGCAUGUCUACCAGGAUGCUCUUUUAAAAACAAUCUACAUGU